UCGGAAUCAUUGGGCGUAAAGCGCCCGUAGGCGGUCCAGCAAGUGGGGCGUGAAAGCCCUCGGCUUAACCGAGGAAGUGCUUUCCAAACUACUGGACUUGAGUACUGAAGAGGGUCGCGGAAUUCCCGGUGUAGAGGUGAAAUUCGUAGAUAUCGGGAGGAACACCAGUGGCGAAGGCGGCGACCUGGGCAGAUACUGACGCUGAGGUGCGAAAGCGUGGGGAGCAAACAGG
rnacentral:rRNA from 1 species